GGCCCCAAAACAGAAAGGAAAGCUCACCACCAGAAUGUGCCUUUUCCUUAUCAAAAAGAAUUGCUGCCCCUUACAGGACAGGAGGACUCCAAUUGUGACCAAGUUGGAGCAGCCUUGAGCCACAACUCAGACUUAUUUUCAUUCUCUGCUCAUUGGCCAUUAGGAACCCGAUCCUUAUGACCUGCAGUGACCUGCUGCUACCAGAACUGACUCGCUUCAAAGUGACGGAUGAAACCCAUAUGGAGAUAUUCCUGGGGUGGGUAGGCCAGUUGGAAGACAGAGUGUUUACACCUGAGAGAGGACUUGAGAAUUUUACUCAGUCACGUUGCUCACUGCUGCGCACUCCUGCAGACGCAUCCCAGUGGACUCUGCGCUGCAUCCCCAGAGUACAGCGAGUUUCCCGCCUCCCGUUAGAGAUCCAACACAUAUUUUUUUUGAAAGAAGAAACUGAUGGAAGACAGGAAGCAAAAAGGAGAGGAAGGAAAGGGAUAGGAAGGAGGGGAAGGAAAGGGAAAGGAAGGAAAAGAAAGGAAAGUGAACUUGAAAUCCUACAAGGUCUCAAAGUCAAAAAACAUGAUUGCUGUUUUAGAGAAUUGAAGAUCCUUCAUCUUCAAGAAUCUGAAAUCUACCAUGAUCUUCACAUGUAGCCAAACACAAUGGGAUGUAGUCAUUUAAGAGUGCUGUGAAGGCAGUGAAAAGCAGUUGAAAUACCAUUAGUUAACAGAUUGCCCAAUGAAGUCGAUGACAACUGUGAUAACAAGUUACUCACUAUCACAGCGUCUCCAAGAGAUGAACAGUGGAUGAUGCUUCCAAAGCACAGAUGUCCCUCUCCUCCUCAACCUUCUCUCCCCAGAAAGAUGUCAACACUGUGGAGAUUGUGCUAUGAAGAUACCUGCACCCAGUUCCGGAUUUCACACCAAGCCUUUGCUGAGGAUAUGAGAGUAAUAAAAAGGGGAGCCCUGGUUCUUCCUCUCCUUUAGUGUCUUUCCUGGAAGUGGACUGCGAGAAGAGCUUCUUCAGCCACCUUCUGCCUGCAGACAACCUCCAUGAGUUUGCUUUAGAAGAAGGCUUCAAUUUGAAGAAAGUCAAAUAAAACAAGGUCAUUGUGUUUGCAAUUGAUCCUUGGAGACAGCGACAUCUGCGAAGCUUCCAAGCCACGGUGGUUCCACCUUCACAAGUAUCCUUCAAAGGCAUCCUGCAACCACCCCAUCCAUCCAAGUACUCCGUUGUAGGAUUCAAAAGCAAAUUGCAGGGUUUGCUGCCUGGCAGAGAAGCAUAGACACAAAGCAUGAGAGAGCAAAACCUAUGAGUUGACCAUAUCAUAAACACAAAUAGAUAUAUGCAGAAUACCAGCUAAAAAAUAGGCAAUAAACUUAAACAAUAGGACUAUGAGUAGACAUAGCAAGUGCUGGGUAGAGAUGACAGUUUUGUGUCCUGUUAGAGCUAAGUCAGAAAUCUGGGUCGAAGUGAAUGUGAGGGAGGAAAAGGCCAUUACAAUAUUUAAGAAGCAGCUCCAAUAUUUUUAAAACGUGAAGGAAAACUUGCAAGCAAUCUCUAGGGCUGGAGGGAGAGAAAUGCAAAGCCCUCUCAGCCUGCUCCACCAUUAUCUUUUGCAUUCCAAUAACUGACAUGCUGCUGAAUGUUAUGACUAUUUGUUUAUUGUUGACUGUUCUUGGCACUGCUCAGUGUAGCCAAAGAUUCCUUGCCUACAAGAAAGUCUUGCUCAGACAAUAAACCACGGAG
rnacentral:lncRNA from 1 species